GUGUGUGUGUGUGUGGCAUGUUCAACAACAGAGCUUCAAGUCAAAUUUCCCCUCACAGGAUUAAUAAAGUCCAUCUUCUUCUUCUUCUUCUACUGUUGUAAACGUGUUGGGCAAACGGCGUCCUGCAGUAUGUUCACCACAGACUUGAACAGCUCCCGAUGCUUUCUCUCAUCUACACCAUAAUAUUUCGUUCUUUCACUACCCAAACACAGAACUUGGUCUCUUCGUCGCUCCAGAUGUAAGACGCUCUCGCGGCGCCUGUGCAGGUAGUCGUCAGCUGUCAGAAACCGGGGGAAAGGCAUCAACAUGCCGCAGUGGCCGCCGGCUUUCUCUAAAUGGUGAUAAGGGCUUAUCCCUGAUUUCUGAAACCAGGAUAUAAUGUUUACGUGCCCAAACACAAAAACAGGAUUAAAAACCGGAUCAUAACAGGGAUCCUGACGUCUACUGAAACAAACUCCUAAAAUAUGAUGUUACUUCCUGUUAUUAUUUAAUCACUUCCUGUCAUUAUUUAACCUCAUCUUUAGUUAUUAUAGACGACCCUUAAAGGAAAGUUAAAUCCUGACGUGUCCUCAUCAUAAAAGAGAAAACAAGAGGCGCUCAGUGUCUCCUUUACAGACACUCUGCAGGAGGUACGCUAACACCUCACAGUCCCUCUGAAGUCUCAUCUUUAAGAAUGUUCAUUCAGAGAAUCUGCUGUAACAGAAGGAUGAGAACGUAAACUGAGCCGACCUAAAGAUCUAUCUGGGUCAGCAGCACACACACACACACACACACAUGUCACUGCUGAUUGUCCUUACAGUUAGCAUAUGUUAGCUCGUCUUCUGAUGCUGCGGCGGUGACCUGUAUGUGACCUCGUGGUGAAGAAAAAAAACACUGUGACUGUGUCGACGAGGAACAAAAGAGAGAGAGAGAGAGAGACACAUCUGAGUGUUUGUGAACAGAGGAUGAGACGAGAGAGAGGGAGGGAGAGAGAGAGAGCAAGGGAGGAUGUUUAUGUCAGAGAGGACAGGAUUACAUCCAGUGUGUGUGUGUGUGUGUGUGUGUGUGUGUGUGUGUGUGUGGCCUCUUCAUCUCGUGCCAUCUGUUGUCGCUCUGUAAAGAAAAAAAAAACCUCUCAGGUCCUGAUGAUGAAGACGCUCUCAGUCUGGUCCCAACACAGUAACCUGGGGGGGGGGGGGGGGUCGGAUUACCUCACUCCCCGAGGGCCCCGGAUCACAAGACGGGGCUAAAUUAGACACUACGGGGGGCUAAAGGUGCGUCACUGGCUACCUGACAAUGAGCCAGGUGUUAAAGCUGCUCAGGUGAUCCACACAUGGAGGGAGGAGGGGUUCUGUUUGAGACUGGAUGGACGAGAGCUUCAAACGGAUCAUUAGGUUGAAAGUGAUAAUCAAAUAUAAAGAGCUCGUUUUAACACGUCUGAGCUUCCUCUUUUAGGGUGUUUUGGCGACACUUCGCAAGCUGCCAGGUUGCUGUCGGGAACUGUGUCCCUGGAGACAAACAUUUGGGAAGUCAAACUUCACAGAUUCAGGAUUUAGGGCGCACUCACACUAGGUCCAGUUGUCCCUCCCCAGUCCCCCCUCUGGCCUGCCCUCACACUGCUCCAGGACUAACCGGGCCUGAGCACGGUUACCCCUUGAACGUAACGUCAUAGUACAACACAUGAAUGGCUUUACGUGACUUUGUGUCUUAUUCUGAGUCAUGUUAGUCAGAUACAGAUAGAACACUCCAGGGUUUCUCCAUAAUGAAGACUGUCCACGUUGUGUGUAAAGCUGCUCCAUCGUCCCUUCUGGGCCUCCGUACAUGUGUGUCUGCAGAGACCCUGUCCUCUGACUGGAUUUUACUGUUCUGCUUUGUUUUAUUCGGGCGUAUCAGUUGACUCUGCUCAGCUGCUCGCAGGUUUCAGAGGGAAGUUUUUCAGAGUGUGAGCAGGUUUGUCGAGUCCUGAGCUGCACACGCUCGUCUUCCUGGAAACUCGUAAAUUAUUCAGACUGUCUCUCUGCUCAUUAGUGCCCCCGCAGUCCACACGCUGACGACCUGCUCUCUGCUGCUGCUGCACAACACCACACACACAUCACACACACACACACACACACACACACACACACACACACACACACACACACACACACACACACACACACACA